UGCUCCCGCUAACCUCGCUCGUUGCCAAACUGUAUCCCAGAAUUUCUGGUCAGUUACGAUCCGUCAGCCUCGUCUCCCUAAAUCCCUCUGCUCCUCGCUUCUACUCUCGGCCGCCGCGCGACCCUGUUCUCCCCGCCGCCCCUCAACUCACUCCACCCCGCCGCACCCUUCCGCCCUGGCCGAGAUCUGCGCCUCCACAUGGAUCGACUCCUGCGCUGGCACACAUGAAGUUCCAUCGCGUCCAUGGCCGUCGGUGGCCAGAGCACUAGGUGUGGGACGCUGCGCGCCGAUGGGGCUACACACCAGCCGAAGCAGCGAGCAGGAGGCUGCUUCCACCGAUCGUGGUUGUCGUCUCAAUCCCUUGCACGACUACACAUAUCAGGAGAAGCUAAUUGAUACUGUCACCUCUAUCUGGAUCAGGACCUACACUCACAUGCGAUGACAUCGCCAAUUUUGCUCUUCAUGAUGCCAUCCCAUUGCGUGGAAGCAUCUUUGGGACCUCGUUGAGUGCCGGCAGCCGGGGAAAUUGGUUGGAGGUGAUUGCUUCCCCUGCCAUCAUGAAGAGCGAGCCGAACAUGUGAAGCAAAAUAAGAUAGUGGCGACGAGCAUGAGACUAGCUAGAGCGUAUGGCCUAGCUAUUGCUUCGCAGGAUGGCGAACACAUUCAUCAAAGGAAGUGGAUGGGAUCGGCCAUGGCUAGCUCCAAUGAUGUGUUAAACAUUAGAUACAUGUAAUUAAAUAAUGUGAAUGCAUCCAUGAUUCGAAGCAUUCUAAACUAUGUCAUCGAAUCAUGUGUAAUUUUUUCAGUGAAUGUUGGAUGAAAGUAAAAUCAUGUAUGAAUUCAGAAAGAAGCAUU